rnacentral:rRNA from 1 species
GACGAACGCUGGCGGCGUGCUUAACACAUGCAAGUCGAACGGAAAGGCCCUGCUUUUGUGGGGUGCUCGAGUGGCGAACGGGUGAGUAACACGUGAGUAACCUGCCCUUGACUUUGGGAUAACUUCAGGAAACUGGGGCUAAUACCGGAUAGGAGCUCCUGCUGCAUGGUGGGGGUUGGAAAGUUUCGGCGGUUGGGGAUGGACUCGCGGCUUAUCAGCUUGUUGGUGGGGUAGUGGCUUACCAAGGCUUUGACGGGUAGCCGGCCUGAGAGGGUGACCGGCCACAUAGGGACUGAGAGACGGCCCAGACUCAUACGGGAGGCAGAAGUGGGGAAUAUUGCACAAUGAGCGGAAGCCUGAUGCAGCAACGCCGCGUGCGGGAUGACGGCCUUCGGGUUGUAAACCGCUUUCGCCUGUGACGAAGCGUGAGUGACGGUAAUGGGUAAAGAAGCACCGGCUAACUAAGUG